rnacentral:rRNA from 1 species
GACGAACGCUGGCGGCGUGCUUAACACAUGCAAGUCGAACGGAGCGAAUGAAAGCUUGCUUUUAUAAGCUUAGUGGCGAACGGGUGAGCAACACGUAGGCAACCUGCCGACAGGAUGGGGACAACAUUCCGAAAGGAAUGCUAAUACCGAAUGAAGUCAGAGGAGGGCAUCCUCUUCUGAUGAAAGAUGGCCUCUAUAUAUAAGCUAUCACCUGUCGAUGGGCCUGCGUCUGAUUAGCUGGUAGGUGAGGUAACGGCUCACCUAGGCGACGAUCAGUAGCCGGUCUGAGAGGAUGAACGGCCACAUUGGGACUGAGACACGGCCCAGACUCCUACGGGAGGCAGCAGUGGGGAAUCUUCCGCAAUGGGCGCAAGCCUGACGGAGCAACGCCGCGUGAGUGAAGAAGGUCUUCGGAUCGUAAAGCUCUGUUGAUGGGGACGAACGUGCCUAAUGCGAAUAGUUUUAGGUAAUGACGGUACCCAUCGAGGAAGCCACGGCUA